GAUGAACGCUGGCGGCGUGCCUAAUACAUGCAAGUCGAGCGAACGGACGAGAAGCUUGCUUUUCUGAUGUUAGCGGCGGACGGGUGAGUAACACGUGGAUAACCUACCUAUAAGACUGGGAUAACUUCGGGAAACCGGAGCUAAUACCGGAUAAUAUUUUGAACCGCAUGGUUCAUAAGUGAAAGACGGUCUUGCUGUCACUUAUAGAUGGAUCCGCGCUGCAUUAGCUAGUUGGUAAGGUAACGGCUUACCAAGGCAACGAUGCAUAGCCGACCUGAGAGGGUGAUCGGCCACACUGGAACUGAGACACGGUCCAGACUCCUACGGGAGGCAGCAGUAGGGAAUCUUCCGCAAUGGGCGAAAGCCUGACGGAGCAACGCCGCGUGAGUGAUGAAGGUCUUCGGAUCGUAAAACUCUGUUAUUAGGGAAGAACAUAUGUGUAAGUAACUGUGCACAUCUUGACGGUACCUAAACAGAAAGCCACGGCUAACUACGUG
rnacentral:rRNA from 1 species